GAGGGAACGACAUUGCUCACAUUGCUUCCAGUAUUUUUUUACUAGCCAGCUCGGGUGCUGGCUUUUUUUU
rfam:Proteus penneri ATCC 35198 genomic scaffold Scfld4, whole genome shotgun sequence.